ensembl:lncRNA
UUUCCCCCCCUGUUUUUGGGAGAGACUCUGGUUAAUUGUCUGUUUUUAAAAACUUUAGUCAAUAAGGUUUUGCAGAGAAUUAGUGUCAGGACCCAUGUUUCCCGGGCCUUCACAUUGGCGCCGGGAAUCAGGCCCCUGACAUUCCCGCACAUUCCUGGACUGAUAAGCAGGCCGGGGCCGGCCUUGAGACACCAACGGACAAAGGGGGUUUUUGGUGGGCACUAUGCGCGGGUUUUUCACCGAGCGGGAAUUGCAUGUUUGAAUGUGGGAGGAGGGUAUAUAAAGGGACCCAAGGGCAUCACCCAGCACUCUUGGCUUCUUAUGCGUCAGUUAUCCUUCAGUUAUCCUUCAGUAAACGUUCACCUUGUUUACGCACCGGUCUCACGUCGUCGUUCUCGAGCGGCUGGAGUGAGCUGACAAAUUAGUACUUGGAAGAGCUUUUUCCACCAACCAUUAAACCAGCAUGCUGUUGUUAUAAAUAUGUUGAACAUUUUUAGGGAAUAUAUAUGUGUAUGUGAUGAUGGUAACUUUAUAUGAUUGUGAGAUGUAUAUUUGAGAAUGUAUCAGAUGGCCAUUGCGAUUUAUGUGUGAAACUGGAUAAAUGUGUUUGUACAUGGAAGCCGGGCUGUGGCGCAGCUGGCUAGUAACCAGCUGCAAUAAAUCACUACUGACCGAGAGGUCAUGAGUUCAAAGCCCAGGUCGGGUUAAGCCCCCAACCAUUAAAUAGCCAGGCUUUCUGUUGACCUAUUCAGCCCUGAAAGACAGUUGCCACUGUCAAGUAGGGUACACUUUAUGUGGGAGGCUAAUUUAACUAAUUUACAACACCAUAAAACUGCCAGCAAAAAACGAGGAAAGGAAUGAGGAAGUACAGCCACUAGUGGACGGUGAAGCAACAGCUCCCCCUGUGGCCGGAAUCGUGAAGCUGGAAAAAUGUUAAAUGCCUCUGUGUCUGUCUAUACUGUAUGUUGUUUGUCUGUUGGCAUUGAAUGUUUUGCCAUAUAUGUGUUCAUUGUAAUCUGCCCUGAGUCCCCUUCAGGGUGAGAAGGGCGGAAUAUAAAUACUGUAAAUAAAUAAAUAAAUAAAUAAAUAUUCAUGAAAGAGGCAUGAGGCAUAUUUGCUCAUUUUUCCAGAAAGGGAACAACUCAUAUCUGUUAUGUGGCCCCUGGAAGAUUUGCUAAAAUACAACGUGACGCUCAGACUCUCAAGGAUCCUCCACCCUUAAUUUAUAGUAGGGUUGGGAAUCAUGAAACUCUCCAAAUGAUAUUGGAUUGCAUCUCACAGGAUGUCUCACUAGUUGCUAUGAUAGGAAUUGUAGUCCAAUACCAUCUAGAAAACUACAUGAUUUUGAAUACUUGUUUAGAAAAUGCUAGAUGAAGGAUAGAAAAUAACCUGGACAGGGGAAAGAGUUAAUUUUAGGAGUAUAGAGUCUGCUUGUGGGGGAAGAAGUCCUUGGAAGAUUUUAGAUUAAUCUGGAUUGAUUCUGAAGAAAUUAUUUCACAUGCACCCUCACAUAUUUGUUGUAAUAAUAGAGCACUUGCAAUUAAAUUUGGAAGUAUGAAUAACUACUGUAUAUACUUAAGUAUAAGCCAACCCAAAUAUAAGCUGCAGCACCUAAUUUUAUCACAAAAAAAACAGGAAAACGUAUUGACUUGAGUAUAAGAUGAGGGUAGGAAAUGCAGCAGCUACUGGUAAAUGUUAAAAAAAUAGAUACCAAUGAAAUUACCACUAAUUGAGGCAUCAGUAGGUUAAAUGUUUUUGAACAUUUACAUAAAACUGUAAUUUAAGAUAAGACUGCCCAACUGUGAUUACUGUAUAUACUUGAGUAUAAGAUGACCUGAAUAUAAGCUGGUCAGGACCCCCCACAUGAGUAUAAGCUGAGGGGGACUUUUUCAGCCCUUAAAAGGGCUGAAAAACUCAGCUUAUACUCAAGUGUAUUUGGUAAGUAUGAUUACGUGUAUGUCUAUUUAUAUUUACAUAUAUACAAUUAAGACCCAUGCACAAAGGGAAGGCUUCUUCUGUGAUAUUUCCCAUACAUAAGUGCUAGGUCAGUGGUGGCUGGAGCAGUGAAACCACACCAAAUUUGCAAAGUUUCAAGGAGCUAUCCAAAGUGCUGAAGCUAUUUUGAGAACAUUGUUCAGCAUCACAGAUUGAAGCUUGAAUUAAUACCUGGACUCGGCUCACUGCCCACUGGCAUGAAGUCCACUACAUAUCAGUGUGCCAGAUAUAUAGGAGGCUCCAAAUAUUCAGCCUGCUUCCAUUAGAAAUCUGAAAUGGGUCUGCUUAUUGUGAAACCUGACAAAUCCUUCCCCAGAUAUUUAGUAUUUUUGCACCAAAUGAUAGCUUUGUGAAUAGUGUAUUACAUAGACAUAACAAGGCCUGUGAGUAGCUUGUCAAGAUGUACAUUAUAUUUCCCUUCCCAGCAGGUUCCACCUUUAUGUAAGAUA